rnacentral:rRNA from 1 species
UACGGGGGGAGCAAGCGUUGUUCGGAUUUACUGGGCGUAAAGGGCGCGUAGGCGGUCGUGACAAGUCACUUGUGAAAUCUCCGGGCUUAACUCGGAACGGUCAAGUGAUACUGUCGUGCUAGAGUACAGAAGGGGCAACUGGAAUUCUCGGUGUAGCGGUGAAAUGCGUAGAUAUCGAGAGGAACACCUGCGGCGAAGGCGGGUUGCUGGGCUGAUACUGACGCUGAGGCGCGAAAGCUAGGGGAGCGAACGGGAUUAGA